GACGAACGCUGGCGGCGUGCUUAACACAUGCAAGUCGAACGGUAAGGCCCUUCGGGGUACACGAGUGGCGAACGGGUGAGUAACACGUGAGUAAUCUGCCCUUGACUCUGGGAUAAGCACUCGAAAGGGUGUCUAAUACCGGAUAUUCAGCUUUCACCGCAUGGUGGUUGUUGGAAAGUUCUGGCGGUCAAGGAUGAACUCGCGGCCUAUCAGCUUGUUGGUGAGGUAGUGGCUCACCAAGGCUUCGACGGGUAGCCGGCCUGAGAGGGCGACCGGCCACAUUGGGACUGAGAUACGGCCCAAACUCCUACGGGAGGCAGCAGUGGGGAAUAUUGCACAAUGGGCGAAAGCCUGAUGCAGCAACGCCGCGUGCGGGAUGACGGCCUUCGGGUUGUAAACCGCUUUCAACGCAGACGAAGCGAAAGUGACGGUAUGCGUAGAAGAAGCACCGGCCAACUACGUG
rnacentral:rRNA from 1 species